GGAGCGUCGUCUCCAAUAGAAACAAAACACACUUCCAACAGUCACACCCGUUUCCCUUGGCAACAGCACCACGUGGCACAGUUACUAGGCCAAACGCACACAACAAAUCAUACAGGGAAUUCCCGUACACACACAGCUGUUACACCACACACUAAAUAACUAUUACUGUACCUUUUUUGGCGAAAUUAUACAAUUACCCACACUAUAAUUCUCAGUAUUUAAAUUACCC